GGAGCACUUAGCGGGCGGAAAAUUUAAGGCGGGGAAGGGGCUCCCUUAGCACCGUUAAAAAUGCAUAAGUAUUGCAACAUGGUGGAUUACAGCGGGAUGAAAGGCAUCACCUCCUAAUAUAUCUGCCUCGUCUAGACGAAUUGGAGGCGUGUAAUGAUUUGAAACUCAUCCUGAAAUAUCUGUGGACUGUGCUGACCGUGCUGAGAUGAGUGGUUCGGCGAGGCGGACCUUGGAAACACCUACAUGGCCAUCACGACUGAAGUGGUGUUCGCCGACAGGUAAAAUGCAGGUGCGACCUUCACAGACUGACAGAGAUUGAGUGAUAACAGACACUGGAGACCCUCCAAGCGAUGGCUGGUGACCGCCUGCCACCAUCCACAGGCUGUCACACAAGGAGCCCUGGGAGUAACCUUGCUGGAAGCCCCGCGGGCCGCGGUGUGUGGCUGGCGUUAUACAGCCCCCAGCCAUCGCCUGGAGGGCAUCCAGUGUCUGUUAUCACUCACCUUAGGUAGUCUGUGAAGGUCCAGUCAUCACUGGUGCACGUGUAUCUUACCUGUGAUCAACACCGGCAGCCACAGACUCCUGCCCAAGGAACGAACACAGUGAUUGUGAUGACAUUGACAACAACGAGCAAGUCCUCCUAGACCUAGAGUGACCUCAAGCUGGGCCAAACAUGAUGUGGAAGAAGAAAUCAGUUGUCUCCAUCAGUCGGGUUUGUGCCAUGGCAGCUUUCUCCAGCUGUCUGGCAGAGGUCCAGUCCAUGCCAUGGAGAAAUUCAGCCCCCAACAAUGAGAUGGCAUGCCAGAGAUGGAUCUGCAACUUCUCCUCCAAUCAAUCAAUCAUUGCAAUGCCCUUUCUCUUUUCUCUCCUUCUGUACCACCAUGCUUACACAUAACUGAUCCUAGGUACUUAAACUCGUUAACCUCCUCCAUUUCUUCACCAUUCAAAAUUAUUUGGCAUUCUUUUUCACAUUCAAUGCCCACUCUAUAUGGGCAUACAAACUCUACAACCUCCCUUCUACUCCGCUCACAAACCAUCACUUUACUUCUGUUGACAUUUACUUUCAACUUUCUCCUUUUACAUACACUAUCAAAAACAUUGACCAAAUUUUGUAAGUCACUUUCAUUUUCUGCAAUGAGCACCGUGUCAUCAGCAAAUAAGAUUGAAUUCAUCACCCACUUCCUUCCCUCCCUCAGCAUACAUUUUUACUUCAAUUUCCCCGACUUUGCCCUUCAUUUCUCAUAACACCAUCCAUAUAAAUAUUGAACAACCACGAUGACAUGACACACCCCUGCCUUAGCCCACUUUCAUCUCAAAAUGUUCACUUGUUUCUCCAGUAAUUUUGACACAUGCAGAUGCAUCCUCAUAGAAAGACUUUAUUGCAUAAAGCAAUUUUCCUCCCACACCAUAUAUCUUUAAGACGUCCCACAAUGCCAGCCAAUCGACUCUGUCAUAAACUUUCUUUAGAAUAACUAGAUCCAUGAAGGCAGCAUAGUAUUUUUUCCUUUUGCUAAUAUUUUUUCUAAUAAAACACCAUCCUGAAGGAAAAUAUCUGAUACACACAUCCUCUUCCCUUCCUGAAGUCUCCUUGUUCUUCACUGAUUUUCUCUUCAGUAAGUCUUUGCACAAUCUCAAUUAGGACUUUUCCAUAUACCUUUCCGGGUAGCCUACACUCAGCAGACUUAUACCCCUACAACUCCCACCUCCCCUCUCCUGCCCUUCCCCUUGUAAACUGGGACCAUGAUGGCUUUUGUCAAGUCUGCUGGGACCUCUCCCCCCCCUUCCCAGGCCACUUCACAUAUCUUGACCAUUCAUAUAGUAACUUCAUCUCCACACUUCAACAUUUCUGCUGUGAUUCCUCUCAAUUCAUUCAUCAUCAUCAUCUCAUCGACGCCUGCUCUUAGGAGCUCCCACCAGGGGAUGGCCACGGCAGAAGUUUCCAUCUUUCUCUAUCCGGACACUCCCUCCUUGCCUGCUCAAAGUUUCUCAAGGAUCUCUCAUCCUUCUCCCUAACGUACUCCUGCACCCUAUCUCUCCAUUUCACUGGAGGUCGUCCUCUAACAUUCCCUCCCUCAAUCUCACAUACACCCUUCUGGUCAUCUUACUCUCCUCCAUUCGCUCCAUGUGGCCAAACCACUUUAAAGUCACUUAUUCCCUUCACCCCCGUGACACAUUCCAAAACGCUCAUACACACUUUCAUUACUUAUUCCAUCCAUUCUACUCACACCACAAGCACUCUUCAAAUAACUCAUUUCCACUGCCUGCACUCUAGACCUCUGACUUUCAUUCCAGGCCCAUGUUUCACUUGCAUAUGUGAGGGUUGGUACUAUUAUUGUAUUUUCAACUGAUAACUGAUCCAAGGUACUUAAACUCAUUGACCUCCUCCAUUUCUUCACCAUUCAGAAUUAUUUUGCAUUCUUUUUCACAUUCAGUUCCCACUCUAUAUGGGCAUACAAAAUCUACAACUUCACUUCUACUACCCUCACAAACCAUCACUUUACUUUUGUUGACAUUUACUUUCAGCUUUCUCCUUUUACAGACGCUAUGAAAAUCACUGACCAAGUUUUGUAAGUCACUUUCAUUUUCUGCAAUGAGCACUGUGUCAUCAGUAAACAGGAUUGAAUUCAGCACCCACUUCCUUCCCUCAGCAUACAUUUUUACUCCAACUUUGCCCUUUAUUUCUCUCAUGACACCAUCCAUAUAAAUAUUGAACAAUCAUGGUGACAUGACACGCCCCUGCCUUAAUCCCACCUUUAUCUCAAAAUGUUCACUUGUUUCUCCACCAAUUUUGACACAUGCAGAUGCAUCCUCAUAGAAAGACUUUAUUGCACUAAGCAGUUUUCCUCCCACACCAUAAAUCUUUAAAACAUCCCACAAUGCAAUCCAAUCGAAUCUGUCAAGCUU